rnacentral:lncRNA from 10 species
UCUGCCUCCAUUCUGACUUCCAAAUCUCUUGCAAAUGCAUAUAAUUGGUUGAACCUAAUUCACAGUUAGAACCCCAGCUGCAAGUGAGACUGGAAAAAUGGCUCUCAGAGUUCCCGCCUCUGCAGUAGAGGAAGACACUCCAGAAGGAGUUGAGAAUGGGUGCUGAGUGCCUCUUCAGGAUGUCUGUCACACCUCAGGAAACCUGCCAGGAAUACCAAAGGGAGUGAAAAAUCCAAGGAAUACUUGUCAUUGAAAUUAGGGCCCACCUGGAUAAUCCAUGAUGAUCUCAUCUCAAGAUCCUUAACUUAAUGACAUCUGCAGAGACUGGUUUAUCAAAUAAGGGACUGUGGCUAUAUCGCUGACCUCAAGAAAACCUGCGGACAAAAUCUGCUAAAGAAGUAUCAGCAUCUAUUUCAAAAGUUAGCCAUUAUUUUAAGAAGACUGUGCUGGAAGACGGGUAUUUAACACAAACAGAUGCAAAAGAUACGGGGUUUCACCGUGUUGACCAGACUGAUUUUGAACUUCUGGGCUCAAUCAGUCCACCUGCCUCGGCCUCCCAAAGUGCUGAGAUUAUAGGUGUGAGCCCCUGCGCCUGGCCAGGGAUGCCGUUCUUCACUCUCCAGUGCUGGUGAGAUAGAAUCACCAUAACAGAGUCAAGCGCAGAUAAAAAAGAUCAGCAAAGGCCAGAUUCCCUCAACUUAUUUUGAAUGGAUGGAGAAAUG